ACCCGCACAAGCGGUGGAUGAUGUGGUUUAAUUCGAUGCAACGCGAAAACCUUACCCACCUUUGACAUGUACGGAAUCCUUUAGAGAUAGAGGAGUGCUCGAAAGAGAGCCGUAACACAGGUGCUGCAUGGCUGUCGUCAGCUCGUGUCGUGAGAUGUUGGGUUAAGUCCCGCAACGAGCGCAACCCUUGUCAUUAGUUGCCAUCAUUUGGUUGGGCACUCUAAUGAGACUGCCGGUGACAAACCGGAGGAAGGUGGGGAUGACGUCAAGUCCUCAUGGCCCUUAUGGGUAGGGCUUCACACGUCAUACAAUGGUCGGUACAGAGGGUUGCCAACCCGCGAGGGGGAGCUAAUCCCACAAAGCCGAUCGUAGUCCGGAUCGCAGUCUGCAACUCGACUGCGUGAAGUCGGAAUCGCUAGUAAUCGUGGAUCAGCAUGUCACGGUGAAUACGUUCCCGGGUCUU
rnacentral:rRNA from 1 species